CCUGAACGCUGGCGGCGUGGUUAAGACAUGCAAGUCGUACGGAUGUAGCAAUACAUCAGUGGCGAACGGGUGAGUAAUGAAUCGCUAAUGUACCCCGGACUCUGGGAUAGCUAUCCGAAAGGGUAGGUAAUACCAGAUGAUAUAUCUUUAUCGCAUGAUAGAGAUCUCAAAGGUCCGCCGGUCUGGGAGCAGGCGAUUUUGUAUCAGCUAGNGGUGAGGUAAUGGCUCACCAAGGCGAUGACGCAUAGCCGGACUGAGAGGUUGGCCGGCCACAUUGGGACUGAGACACUGCCCAGACUCCUACGGGGGGCUGCAGUAACGAAUCUUCCGCAAUGCACGAAAGUGUGACGGAGCGACGCCGCGUGU
rnacentral:rRNA from 1 species